rnacentral:rRNA from 1 species
UACGAAGGGGGCUAGCGUUGCUCGGAAUCACUGGGCGUAAAGGGUGCGUAGGCGGGUCUUUUAAGUCAGGGGGUGAAAUCCUGGAGCUCAACUCCAGAACUGCCUUUGAUACUGAGGAUCUUGAGUUCGGGAGAGGUGAGUGGAACUGCGAGUGUAGAGGUGAAAAUGCGUAGAUAUUUGGGGAGGAACACCAGUGGCGAAGGCGGCUCACUGGACCGGUACUGACGCUGAUGCGCGAAAAGCGUGGGGGAGCAAAACGGGG